GCCUACGGCCGUACCACCCUGAGAACACCCGAUCUCGUCUGAUCUCGGAAGCUAAGCAGGGUCGGGCCUGGUUAGUACUUGGAUGGGAGACCGCCUGGGAAUACCAGGUGCUGUAAGCU
rnacentral:rRNA from 1 species